rnacentral:rRNA from 1 species
UUUCGAAUUAUUCACAAUGGGCGAAAGCCUGAUGGUGCGACGCCGCGUGGGGGAUGAAGGUCCUUGGAUUGUAAACCCCUGUCACCGGGGAAGAAUGGCAUACACCCAACACGUGUAUGUUUGACUUAACCCGGAGAGGAAGCAGUGGCUAACUCUGUGCCAGCAGCCGCGGUAAUACAGAGACUGCAAGCGUUAUUCGGAUUCACUGGGCGUAAAGGGUGCGCAGGCGGCCGAGUGUGUUGGAUGUGAAAGCCCGAGGCUCAACCUCGGAAUUGCAUUCAAAACUACUUGGCUAGAGUACUGGAGAGGGAGGCGGAAUUCACGGUGUAGCAGUGAAAUGCGUAGAUAUCGUGAGGAACACCAAUGGCGAAGGCAGCCUCCUGGACAGUUACUGACGCUC